GAAUCAAAAAAAGCCCAAAAAAAGGCAAAAAAAAACAUAAUUUCUGAGACAAUAAACAGCAAAAC
rnacentral:tRNA from 1 species